rnacentral:rRNA from 1 species
CUGGCGGCAGGCCUACACAUGCAAGUCGAGCGGUAACAUUUCUAGCUUGCUAGAAGAUGACGAGCGGCGGACGGGUGAGUAAUGCUUGGGAACAUGCCUUGAGGUGGGGGACAACAGUUGGAAACGACUGCUAAUACCGCAUAAUGUCUACGGACCAAAGGGGGCUUCGGCUCUCGCCUUUAGAUUGGCCCAAGUGGGAUUAGCUAGUUGGUGAGGUAAUGGCUCACCAAGGCAACGAUCCCUAGCUGGUUUGAGAGGAUGAUCAGCCACACUGGGACUGAGACACGGCCCAGACUCCUACGGGAGGCAGCAGUGGGGAAUAUUGCACAAUGGGCGCAAGCCUGAUGCAGCCAUGCCGCGUGUGUGAAGAAGGCCUUCGGGUUGUAAAGCACUUUCAGUCAGGANGAAAGGUUA